UACGGAGGGGGCUAGCGUUGUUCGGAAUUACUGGGCGUAAAGCGCACGUAGGCGGCUUUGUAAGUUAGAGGUGAAAGCCCGGGGCUCAACUCCGGAAUUGCCUUUAAAACUGCAUCGCUAGAAUUGUGGAGAGGUGAGUGGAAUUCCGAGUGUAGAGGUGAAAUUCGUAGAUAUUCGGAAGAACACCAGUGGCGAAGGCGACUCACUGGACACAUAUUGACGCUGAGGUGCGAAAGCGUGGGGAGCAAACAGGG
rnacentral:rRNA from 1 species